rnacentral:rRNA from 1 species
UACAGAGGUCUCAAGCGUUGUUCGGAUUCAUUGGGCGUAAAGGGUGCGUAGGCGGCGCGGUAAGUCGGGUGUGAAAUCUCGGAGCUUAACUCCGAAACUGCAUUCGAUACUGCCGUGCUUGAGGACUGGAGAGGAGACUGGAAUUUACGGUGUAGCGGUGAAAUGCGUAGAUAUCGUAAGGAAGACCGGUGGCGAAGGCGGCAUCCUGGACCGGUAUUGACGCUGAUGAGCGAAAGCCAGGGGAGCAAACGGGG